rnacentral:tRNA from 1 species
CGCAGCGAGGACAACCGGUAAGUCGCCGGGCCCAUUACCCGGAGGAAGGCGGUUCGAUUCCGCCCGCUGCAA